AUUGAACGCUGGCGGCAUGCUCUACACAUGCAAGUCGAACGGUAACAGGGUGCUUGCACCGCUGACGAGUGGCGAACGGGUGAGUAAUGCGUCGGAACGUGCCGAGUAGUGGGGGAUAACGCAGCGAAAGUUGUACUAAUACCGCAUACGUACUGAGGUAGAAAGUGGGGGACCUUCGGGCCUCACGCUAUUCGAGCGGCCGACGUCUGAUUAGCUAGUAGGUGAGGUAAAGGCUCACCUAGGCGACGAUCAGUAGCGGGUCUGAGAGGAUGAUCCGCCACACUGGGACUGAGACACGGCCCAGACUCCUACGGGAGGCAGCAGUGGGGAAUUUUGGACAAUGGGCGAAAGCCUGAUCCAGCCAUGCCGCGUGUCUGAAGAAGGCCUUCGGGUUGUAAAGGACUUUCGUCGGGGAGGAAAUCCCCAGCGUUAAUACCGCUGGGGGAUGACAGUACCUGAAGAAUAAGCACCGGCUAACUACGUGCCAGCCGCCGCCGUAAUAC
rnacentral:rRNA from 1 species